UUUUAAGUAUUUAAAGUAUUUUACAUUUUUUGUUUUGUUAAUUGAAUAAUAAUUUCACUACAGUGUACAGUAUACAAAUUUCAAAUCUAAACAGUUCUCCUUAGAUGGGGUUUUUGUGCAAUGUAUAGACAAAGAAUUAAAAUCAUCGCAAAAAACAAGUUAAUAUCAUGCUAUCUACAACAAUUACAUGCCUACUCAAUUCAUCUUUAGUCAGCAAGAUACAAUAAUUGACAAAGGCAUUUGUCCAGGACAAUAAGGAGAUUAUUCUGUUUUGAAAAAAGCUUUUUACUAACAAAUGUUAAGUUGUAAACUUACACAAGUCCCAUCUCUAUUAUUCAACAAUGUAUUCUUCAGUUCAUAAUUUUUUUUAUAUCAUAUGGUUAUAUUUUUUAUUUUUUAAUGUAUAUUUUAUUUUAUUUUUUUGUUUGUGUAUAAUGGCAAAUAUAA